rnacentral:rRNA from 1 species
AUUGAACGCUGGCGGAAUGCUUUGCACAUGCAAGUCGAACGGCAGCACGGACUUCGGUCUGGUGGCGAGUGGCGAACGGGUGAGUAAUGUAUCGGAACGUGCCCAGUCGUGGGGGAUAACGUAGUGAAAAUUACGCUAAUACCGCAUACGAUCUAUGGAUGAAAGCGGGGGAUCGCAAGACCUCGCGCGAUUGGAGCGGCCGAUAUCAGAUUAGGUAGUUGGUGGGGUAAAGGCCCACCAAGCCAACGAUCUGUAGCUGGUCUGAGAGGACGACCAGCCACACUGGAACCGAGACAAGGUCCAGACUCCUACGGGAGGCAGCAGUGGGGAAUUUUGGACAAUGGGCGAAAGCCUGAUCCAGCCAUUCCGCGUGCAGGAUGAAGGCCCUCGGGUUGUAAACUGCUUUUGUACAGAACGAAAAGGUUUCUACUAAUACUAGGAGCUCAUGACGGUACUGUAAGAAUAAGCACCGGCUAAUUACGUGCCAGCCGCCGCGGUAA